GCACGCAGCAGCCCGCAUGGGAGGUGACGCACUCGGAACAGAAGGACAUGAAAAGAAUAGCUCCUUCCUGACUUACUCUCUCUUGGAUCAAUUACUGUGAUGGAAACCAGCUGCCAUGUCAGGAGUACACUCAGCUGGCCUAAUGGGAGGCCCACACAGAGAGGCACUGAGGUCGCCAAUCAAUAACCAACACCAAUACAGCGCAGACCAUAAGCCAGUGUCCCAACUAGGGACUUGAAGAUGAGUCUACAGAGAUGACCAGAGCGGUGCUGGGUGAACUUCAUUUUCCUUUCCUAGUCAAGAAGGCUUAAGUAAUAGUAUGAGGAAAUACCUGAAGACCCAAACCCUGGUAGAAAAGACACUGCUGUCAUGGCAACAUUCUAACUUUAGCACAUUGAAUAUGUCAUACUACUCUCUCCUGGACUGCAGAGUUUUUGCUGACAAAUCUGCUGACAGCCAUGUUGGAACUCUCUUGAUUGUGGCAUAUGCAGCAAACGAAUAAGUCUAUCUAGCUUUCUGGAUUCUGAGAAUUGUCACCUUUCAGGCCAGUUUCCAAUUGUUCAUUCACUUCACUAAGAGCUAUGUUUAAGUGCCUGUGUGUGUGCCAGGGACCAUACUAGGCACUAGGCUAUGGCAGUGAAGCAGAUAAAGCCAUCUGGGUCCUCGAGAGAUCACAAGUCAGGAAAGAAGACAAAGAGAACCUAUAAUCAUACAUGUGGCGAGGGCUACAAGAGGAGAAGGACUGAGUGUUGUCUGAACCAAUAACAGAAGACUUAAUGAGCUUGAAAGAUUGAAGGAUCAGCAGUAUCUUCUCUGAAGAGGUGACAUUUGUAUGAAGAAAUAAAGGAAUCAGCCAGAUGUCAAUGGCAGGGGAGGGACAUUCAGGCUUUGCAGGCAACAGGAGUCACUUUUGUGAGGAACAGAAGGUAACAUAAGAGGCUGACUCCUUUCCUUGCCCCAUGUUCAUGGCAAGGAUUCUGAACAUACUUUAUGGAAGUUUAUUUUUCCAAUGUAUAAAAUGAAACUUUUAGAAAAAAAAGCUUUUACUACCAUAUUUCCCUCUUCUCAUACAUUGGUUGUUUUUCAAGUCUUGACAAAGAUAAGAUGGAGAUGAAGCCAGAAGACAAUUGUGUGCUAUUAGCAAGGAGGUAUUAGCAAGGAGCUAUUUCAAGGAAUCAUUAUUUUUCCUCACCACAGACAUUGUGAUAAGUUCUUCUUUUAAUUUAUAGUUGUUGUAACUCUAUGAGAUAGCUAUUAUUUCUAUUUUUGCAAUGGAGUAAACCGAGGAUGGGGGAGGGUAAGUUACUCACUCUGGGUGAAUAGAGCUAGAAUUUGAAACCAGCUGUCUUUGACUCAAAAGUAUAAUGCCUCUACAAAGUAGCAAAGGCACAGAGGGGGCUUAUCAAGAGCAUAAUUAGGAACAGUGAUCAUCCAAUUUACGUGAAGUUAAGGAAAGUACACAGGAGAUGAGGCUGGAAGGUGCAAUGUGAUUAGGAAAGUAUACAAACAGGUGUAAGGGAAAUUCUUGGCUUUCUACUCAGAGCCUAGCUCAUUUCCAAAUAGGUGUCUUCUCAUCAUCACCAACCCAUGCAAGGAAACCUGACCAUCCCCAGCUCAAGGGGCCUUAUAUUUCUACAGAUAAUUUAAAUUCCCUCAACCGCAAUUGAUCAACAAUAUAUGGCAAAGUCAAUCACCUUUCAUCACUCCCCAGCUCACUGGAGUUGUUUUAGGAAUGCACAAACAACCAAAAUGAAAGGGGAAGUAUAAGAGGUUCUCUAAGAAAAAGUUCCAUUGAUUUUCUUUUUUAAAUUUCCUGGAAGAGAUGUGAGACCCAGAACUGCAGCAGUCAUUUCACCACAAUCCUGAAGUGGAAGCCAAUCGAGGUGAGAACUCUUAAGUUUUAAAGGAGAACAUGAAGAAAAUAUCAAAAGAUGCUUAAGAUCUUUGCUCCUGGAAUCACCUGGUGACUUCCCAUCCUGGCUUUGCCAUAUACCAGCCGGAUGACCAUGGGCAAGGUAUUUAACUUCUGUAAGCCACCAUUCUAUGAUAUGAUCCAUGUGGAUAUUGAUAAAACCUCAUAUGGGUUUUGUGAGGAUUAAAUGAAUAUAUAUAGAGAGAGAGAGCUUAGCAUCUCACACUCAAUAAAUGAUUGCUUCAUUAUUAGAACUCAAGCCACAGUGAAAUAUUUAUGUCUCUGAUGAAACAGGAAAGUUAAUGGCUGUGUUUGAGUUUAAGGAUCUUAACAAACAUUACCAAAUAUUUAAUAUGCUAAGGCAUGUUUCAGUAUAGAUUUUCUGUAUUUGGUUUAACCAAUUACUUUCGUACUCAGAAUCAGAGUCGGGAAAUUUAGUAUUUCAACAAAUCUUUCAUAGUUAACAAAAGAGCAAAGGCAGUUCAAUGGAUAAGAGAUAGUCAUUUAACAAACGGUUCUAGAACAAUUGGACAUUCCAUAUAAAACAAUAAUCUAGACACAGAUUUCAGAUAUUCCACAGUUUACUGAAAAUGGAUCAUAGAUCCAAAUGCAAACUGCAAAACUUUAAAAAUACCAAAAGAUAACAGAAGAAAUCUAGGUGACCAUGGGUUUGGUGAUGAGCUUUUAAAUAUAACACCAAAAGCAGAAUCCAUGAAAUAAAAAGCUGAUACAUUGACUUUAUUAAAAAUAAAAACUUCUUCCCUGCAAAAGACACUGUUAAGGAAAUGAGAAGAAAAACACACAUUGGGAGAAAAUAUUUGUAGAACACGUAAUUGAUAAAGAACUUGUGUUCAAAAUAUACAAAGAACCCUUACAACUCAGCAGUAAGAAAAUAAACAGUCAAAUUUUAAAAAUGGGCCAAAGAUCUCAACUAACACCUCACCAAAGAAGAUAUAUAUAGAUAGCCUGGCAAAUAAGUGUACUAAAAGGUGUUCAACAUCAUGUCUUCAGGGAAUUGCAAAUUAAAAUAAGAUACCACUGCACACCUAUUUGAACGAGUAAAAUCCCAAAAACACCACCACCAAAUGAUGGUGAAGUUGUGAAACAACAGAAACUCUCAUUUAUUGCUGGCAGGAAUGAAAAAUGGUAGAGCCACCUUGGAAGACAGUUUGGCAGCUUUCUACAAAGCUUACAUAGUCUUACUAUACAAUCCAGCAGUUACGCUUCCAAGGAUUUACUCAAGCUGAAAACUUAUGUCCAAAAAAAAAAAAAAAGAACCUGCUCAUAAAUGUUUAUAGUAGUUUUAUGAGUAGUCUCCAAAUACUGUAAGCAUUUAAGAUGUUCUUCAGUAGAAAAAUAAAUAAAUAAACUGUGGUACAUCCAUACAAUAAAAUAGUCAGUGAAAAAUGAAAAGGCCAUGAGAAGACAGGGAGGAAACUUAAAUACACAUUACUAAAUGAAAUAAGCCAGUCAAAAAAGACUGCAUACUAUAUGAUUCCAACUGCCUGAUAUUCUGGAAAAGCCAAAACUCUGGAAUAAUGAAAAGAUCAGUGGUUGCCAGGAGGGAAACAGGAAGAGGGAAGUGGAGAGGAAUGAGUAGGUGACAUACGAUAGAUUUUUAGGGUGAUAAGCUGUUCUGUAUGAUACUGUAAUAGUGGAUGCAUGUCUUUAUGCAUUUGUCAAAACUCAUAGAACUGUAAAACACAGAGUAAACCUUACAAUAAACUGUAGACUUCAGUUAAUAAUAAUGUAUUAAUACUGGUUUACAAAUUGUAACAAAUACACUGCUCCAAAGCAAGAUGUUAACUGUGGAAACUGUGUGCAGGAGAGGGGACGGAAUAUGGGAACUCUCUGUACUAUAAUCUAAAUUUUUCUGUAAAUCUAAAUUUGUUCUUAAAAAAGGCAAUUAAUUUUUAAAAAUCAAUAGCCAUAUUUAAGGAUUUUAACAAAUAGUAUCAUAUAUUUAAUAGAAGAGUCCAUGCCUCAGGGUGUAUUUUCUAUAUUUGCUUCUUAUUUACUGAGAUCCAGAGUCAGUAAAUUUAUCAUUUCUCCAGAUUUGGAACAAGGAAGAGAAUCAGUUGUGAAACUGAUCAUGGUAUGUAAAAUUAUUAAACUGCCUCAACUGAAACUGACAUACAGCUCAAGUUUUAUACUUCACAGCACCUAUGAUCCAAAAGAAAAAGGGGACUUUCCAUGAAAUCAGAUUAAAUAAAGACUUCAGCCUUGGCCCUUUCCUCAUUCUAAAGUUCUGCUAUCAGCUUCAUAAAUCACCUAGGUCUAAAGGAUGUAAAACAGUGAGCUUCUCUUGAUCGUCAGCUGGAUCCAAGAACAAGGUACUCAAUUUCAUGUUCAGAAAUCCAAAGAGCCCGAGGAACACAUUUCACAGACUUCUACCAGCAAAGGAAGCUUGCAUAUUUACUCUGCGAUUUGGCAAUUUGAGUUUAUUUCUGUCACAGUAAGAUGUUACAGGAGGAGGAGCAAACUACUAGUGGGUUCUCCUUUUGAAUCUGGAAUGAAUUUACUGAUGGUUCAUCAUCUUGGCCCUGAAAAAUACUGUUGUAACAAUGAAACUAUAUGUUUUUAAAGUAUUUUUAAUGGAAAUAACAUAGAUAACCAUAAGAAUAUUUUUAAAAAUUAAUUUUCAUUUUUCUUGCAUACCUUUGCAUUUACUUUUUAUAUUCCUAGUAGUGGCAGGAGUAUUAAUAAAGCAAUGAUGAUUUUUGUCAUUAUUACUC
rnacentral:lncRNA from 1 species